rnacentral:misc_RNA from 1 species
UUAACUAUUAUAUAGUACUCAGACGACAUGUAAUACAGAGUUGUGGUCCUCUGGCGGGCACGAUCCAGCCAAAGCCGGUGCUUGCGCGGCCCACCAAAGCAACAAAUUGAGAUAAUCAAGGGUGAGAAGGACCGGUUUCCCGGCUUCAUUUGUAAUGAUCCUUCCGCAGGUUCACCUACGGAAA